rnacentral:rRNA from 1 species
CAGCCGCCGCGGUAAUACGGAGGGUGCAAGCGUUAAUCGGAAUUACUGGGCGUAAAGCGCACGCAGGCGGUUUGUUAAGUCAGAUGUGAAAUCCCCGAGCUUAACUUGGGAACUGCAUUUGAAACUGGCAAGCUAGAGUCUUGUAGAGGGGGGUAGAAUUCCAGGUGUAGCGGUGAAAUGCGUAGAGAUCUGGAGGAAUACCGGUGGCGAAGGCGGCCCCCUGGACAAAGACUGACGCUCAGGUGCGAAAGCGUGGGGAGCAAACAGGAUUAGAUACCCCAGUAGUCCCUGUCUCUUAUAC